AAAUAUGGCUUUAUGUUUUGAAACCCAACAUAACAGGAUAUUUCACUUUACUAAAUUUCACAUGUCCAAUUUCACAUGUGUCCCUCGGGAUGUGCAGGACAAGAUCAGUGGCAUGUCGUGAAAGUUGAAUUAAAAAACUAAGAUGAUCAGCAAGACUGUCAACAAAUAUGAGCAGGUACAGAUGUUGGAAAUAUCUAGAUUUUGGUUCUUUAUUAGUUUUUUCUCUGUAGUGGUAUACUGUGUGACUCAAUUUCCAAUUUCCAUCCACAGAGUUGUCCUAACAGGCCUCCAAAACUGUUGUGUCUUAGUACUGCUACAGCCAAUAUCAGCUACUACUACCAAACACAGCUGCCAGUGCAGCUUCCUUAUGCAAAGCAGCAAAAAAGUGGGUCAGGUUAUUUUUUGUUCUUCUUUUUUUAAUGUGCAGGUAUUUUUCUAAUGUGACUCAUACGCAACAUGCUUAUCAAUUAUUAAAGGUUCAACACGACAAAGCAGAAAACCACUGCAACAUAAGAAACUGACGGUGAAAUUGACCUGAACAAGCCAUGCUGAGGGCAGAAGAGCAUUCAGAAAUCCAUCAUCUAUGGAGACCAGGUCAAGUGCACAGGCUGGCAAAUUAAACAUGAUAUUAGCAGCAAACCAUUUGGAGGUAGUUUUGGCGCUGCCGGCAGGAGCUGAGUUCCAAAUAUCUCAUAGAUUUUCGGCGGGGAUCAGACAAUCAAACACAACAAUAACAGUGAAAUGUUUGGUGGUGGUUUUGGUGUUGUGGGCAGGUGAGGAGCACAGCUUGAAAAGAAAAUGGCAUCUUCAUUAAGUUUGUGUGCAGACUGCAUGAUGUUUAGUUUGUUGAAACAGCUGCAUCUAUGAGGGGGCUCCUUGAUCACUACUACUCCUUGAGUACAGUCUGAGCAAUCUUUUAGUUAGGCUAAAAGUGUAUCACUGCUGAGAUCUUUAAUAUUUUUGUUUUCUUUUACACCAAGCUGUGUGAUUUAAUCUGAAUAAAAAGUUUGACUUUGCUUUUAUUCUGAACAGAGGAACAAUACUCGUGGCUCUCCUCUCUGUAAAAAGCUCAAAGUUUUUUUGCAGUUGUGCAACAGCAAAAGAGACCAUUUUGUAAGUAUACUUUUUUUUCCCUCAGGUAUGGGCCACAGCCCUGUAUAUGUCUGAAUAAUAGAUUUAGCCAAUUCCACCAGCCUUGAGUCAAUCACAGUGCCAUGCUCUAUGUUUUCUCUGGCUCAGCUCCCUCCUUUUCAUAGAUCCCAUUCAGCUCCGAGUCGUCUACAGCGAGAGAGCAGAGAGCGAGGAGUAUGUUCGCUUCCACUCAGUCUUUAUUUUUAGGUUUGAGUAGACUUACAGAUGGCCUACAUAAAACUGAAUGGAGCUUCAUUUUAACAGCGGGACCCAGAAUUGGCUGGCGUGCCAUUGUGUGGUCUCUAUUAUGGGAAUAUGGGGGAGUUUAGUAAUACAGCCUGUCCCUUGCUGUCUGUGCACAUGGCAGACAUGAUUUUCCGUGAUGAUUUCUGAAAUGGGUUUGUCCUCAGGGUUUGUGGCGGUGUGCCAUGAGGUUAAAGGCCAGUGCCUCUGAAGAGGUGGUCCAAUUGUUUGGCGAGCGAUGUAACGUCAUGCUCCCCCAAAAUGAUUCAUCUACCGCAGUCCUGUCCGCCAAUUCCAUCUGCUCAAGCCUUCAGCUAAAUUGAAGAAGACAGGAAUAAAAGUUUGAGGAGAAGGCGUUGAGAAUUAAAGUGGAGAUAUUACAAGGGGGGGCUCUCCCCGAGAGAUCAAAUUAAGACGAGCCACAUGAGACAUUCUUAAGAGCGAGACGACAGGAAAAUUAAUCAGCAGAAUGAAGGAUUAUGAAUUAGAAGGUGUCAAAAUGGUAAUAGUCUGUUAAGUAUGCAGGCUGUUCAGAGAUCUCAGUGCAGUCUUGCAGCACAUUUUGACCUCAGAGGUUUUGGAUCAUUUUUUAAUAUAACACAUAGAAGUACAUCCUGAAAUCACAGACAUCUAUCAGCAUUCAUUACCUUUUAUUUCCUUCUCCACUUUUUCUCUUACGCAGAAAUCAGAUCACAUAAGUUUUCAAUCAGUACUGCUCGCUAUGCCAGACUAGAGAACCAUACAGCAUACGCUUGCUGUGACUUGGCCAAAGAAAGCUGAAGAUCACUUGUCGUCUUUAGACCAUUUGAAAAUUUCUUUUUCCUCUUCCUGAAAGACACACAAGUAGGAUAGAGACUUUGCACCUCAUUCAUCCUUAUGAUUGCUUCGCUGUCAUUUAGGAGGUAGCAGGAACCCAUCGUCCAUCCUUUGAUGACAGUAUUCGCUUCUUGAAAUGGUGCAAAACUUUCCUGGUGUUCUGGUUUAGCUAGCUAGAGGUAAGAGAUCAAAUAUUUCCAGCAAAGACUUAGAUUGGGGAAGAAAAAAAAAACAUUCAGGCAAGGAAUUACGGCCUGAGCCAGGCCACUUUAAAGAAGGACUUUAUUUCCUCUAUUUUGAUGAAUUUUACUGAAGGUAAAUCACCAACUCAUUAAACCAAGACCAGCAGUUGUACCUUACAGGACAUUUCCAUUCAAGUUACACUUCCCGUAAACCUUUUUCCAGGAUGAAGCAUAUUGAUUUUUUCCAUCAAAUGUAAGAUAUUUGUUCUGUGCCUCUUAUUUUCUUCAAAUCACAUAUAGUUGGAAGAGGAACAACCAAGCUUUGUAAUUUAUAUGACCUUACUCCAGUUUGUCCAAGGCCAGAGGAACCAGAAGGACCUUUCAUGUACUUCCUACAGUCAGUCGAGCCUGGAAAUGACACUUUUGGGCAGAUGAAAUCCCCAACACUCCAGUUGUCUCAGGUGUGUCUCAGUCCCUGUUAAUAGUUAGUCACAUGAAACUUAAACGCUUGUUUAUUCAGUGGUGUGAAACAGAACAAGAAACAGAUUUUCUUUCAACCCACCUUGAAUCAACAGGUCGAGGGGCUAUGUAAACUAAAUACAGAUAUCCAGCUCUAACCUGCUCAACACAUCUCAUUGUCCAGUCUCCAAAAUGUUAAGUUUGUUAAAAUAGCUUGAAACCCAGUGCUUGCAAAUAGGUCUGAUUACCUUAAUUCAGAGAAAUGUGAUGUAUCAGAGGAUAAGGGGCGAGUUUUAAGGAUUACAUCAACACUGCCUCAUGAAAAUCUGCAGCUUUUACAGUCUUAAGAAGAUCCUUUAAACAGCUGAUCUACAGUAAGGCUCUGUUAUCCUCUUUAAUUUUACAGUAAGAGUUUGAACACGAGUAUUUCCUAAGUCUUAGAGGUAAAAAAAAAAAACAUUGAUUACAUCCUUAUCUCUUGAUGCUGUUACAAAGAUUUAAAAUCAUCCAAGAAGAGACAGAGCCAUAAAAUCAACAGACAGAAAGGAAGCGUCUGACAGAUGCAUUUCCCUCAGACCAAAAACAGAGAUAACAGGAGACUCACUAUCAGUGGGAAGUCCAGUUUAAGAUAUUCCCACAGCCCAACUUCUGACAACAAGAAACAUGUACAACAGGCAGCCAAAAUAACCAGAAAUAACCCAAAUAACUCAGGACUCUGACUCUGAGGAAACUCCAUAUCAGGUACAAAACUUCACCCGUCUGUUAAGGUGGGUUUAAAAACAAUCAGCAUCCUCACUCUGCAGACUAACUGACUGGAAUCAGGGAUUUUUAUCAGUGAGUUUCCAUAACAACAGAAUAAAAGGACCCCAAAAGGUCAAAUAUCUGUGUCUGUAAACUGCAGGUGCAUCGGUUAAGAACAUUUUGAAACACUUUAAAUGUCAGAGAAAAUGUGGCGUUUCUCUUUUGUCUUUAUGGCUGCACAAAAUUCAACAAAAAGGAACCUUUCAGUGUACUCGUGUAUUUCAUUCUUUAAUAUUUCAUUGCAAAUGUAUUUUGAUUACUCUCUGGAUAUUUGGUAAUUAAAAAGGAACAUGUUGAAAUACCAGCUUAAAUUUAAAAAGUAACAGAAGUGAAAAAUAACAACUAGAAACCAAACAUACUGUAGUUUCAAUAGCUUAAGCUGUCAAUUAACCCUGACUUUUUCACUGUAUGUGUGCCAUAUUUAAAAAAAAAAAAACUAACAUGACAGCAUCUGUUAUAGCUUUACACUAUGCUCACUUGGAUCAAUUUUAUGCACCUGGGAAAUAAUUCUGCUUUUUAGCAGGUGUUUUUGGGCUGUGGUGGUCUCGUCUCAUCUGCAGAGCUAAAGUAGAAAUGGUUUAGCUGCUGUUUUUGUUGUAACACCCUUUAAGAGCUUUUGCAGCAGACUGUGUUUUGUUCAGUGUUGUACAUUGUAAAAUCAAACUAGUUCCAAUACACUGAUGAGACUUUUCGCCUUAAAGGAAUAUUCCGGUGUAAAAUUAAGUUAGGGUCAAACACACUGUAACACCAAGUUAGAUACCCCUUUGAGAGAUGAAUGUUGCCGACUGCUUGCUUCUCUAGUUAUACCAACUUUAGUAACGACCGCACAAUAGCACCACUCUAAACCAAAAAUAAUGCUCAGAACAGCACCUAACUUCAUCAACAGUACAUAUAGGGUCCCAGCCAUAGUACUAGCCACCAAACAUCUUUUUAGCUUUGCCUAAUUUCUUUAGCAAAGAGACUAAAUACAACUUACCUACUCUCUUCCAGCAGCCGCUUGUUUGUGGGGGGAGCCUAGACGAAUCCAUCAUCGAGUGCAGCGGAGUUUCGCAGCUCAAGGAAGAACAUUUAUGAUCGUUACUUUAUAGAAAUGCAAUCAGACUGAGAAGCACUACCACGUCAUAUGGUGAUUAUUUGAGAAAUAAGGGUUAGGGUUAGAUAUUUCAUGAAAAGCAAAGAAAAUCCUAUCUCUGUGUGUUUAGCCCAUCAAAUUUGAAAAGUUAGAGGACCAAUAACAUUAAUUUGUAAGCGCAAUUUGGCAAAAGGUUCAGAAUUUAACCCAAACACAGAGGAAAUCUACCUCGUAGUUGUUGAUUUGGGUGAGAAAGUUUAUAUAUCCUCUAAAAUAAAAGGGAUAAGGCUGAAGAAACACCAAAGUGAAAAAAAAUUAAGGCUAAAGAAACACCAAAGUAAGAGAAACAAAUUCAAAAGUGAACUAUUCCCCAUUCUUGAAAAGCUACAGCUCUCUGAACUCAUAUAAGAUUAAAGUCUGUUGGAAUCUGCUCAAUUUAAUAAUUAAUCCAGAGAAAAGACUUGAACCCUUGCCUGUUGACACUGGCAAAAGUGCUAGUUUGGUGGAUUUAAAUGUGUUUGAUUUUUUUAAACACUGCUUUUAACUUAUUUGGAGAGCAUAAAACUGGAGACUUUUUAAAAGGUUUCUUUAUAACUUUAAAAAAACAAAAUCGGAUCGGAGAUUUGCAGCAGCAGUAACUCCGACUCAGAGCUCAGCUGCACCUUCAUUACUGCUGAUGAAACAGGUUGUUCCAGUGGACCAAAGAACAGUCUGCUCCUGCCCUUUUCCAGGAAAUUUCUUAUUGUGUGUGAGAUGGUGUGCUCUAAAUGCUAUGACAGGACUCUUAAGGUUGUUGAUGCUGGAAGGUAAAAGGCGGUAAAUUUGCCUGGGAGAAAGCGAGAGGGAAGAACAGAAAGUAGAGGAACGAGAGGAAUCGGAUCAGACAGCAGUGGAGGCAAAGCAAAGAGAGCGAGCAAAGAUUGUCUGAGACGGACUUUUCUUGGCAGACUUUCCUGAAUCACUGCACAUUCCCGCAAGAUUAAUUGAAGCUGUUUCUGUUUUUGUUUCUCCAGUCUGUGAAUUACCUCCAGUUUAUAGAGAAACAGCUGUUCACCCACUUCCCCCAGACUUGGCCUGUGUGAUUAUGCGUCGAGUGACAACCAAGACAAACAUCCAGGGCUCGCUGGAGCGGCUCAGACGCAGCCUUCACGCUUUUCUGAUGUUCUUUCCAUUUCACAAGCUGCUACUCAUUUACAUAAUGAUUAAUAAAAAGACACAAUCAUUUACAGCGACAGAAAUAUUUAUUAAAUCUUUUUUUGUUGUUGUUUCAGUUAGUCAUAGCUGCUCCAACACGUGUAUUUACAAAGAAAUGGCCUUUUUUGUAGAAAAUCCUAGUGAGGGAUUGAGCAGGAAACAGACUUGAGAAUAGAUUCAUGAGUACAUGGGAAGAUGGGGCUCAUAGGCACAAGGUACAGGUACUACAGAGUCAAAGAAAUGUGCAGUUUUGUGGCACAUCAGUGUCGAGUUUGGAAAAGAAAACAAAGCUGUGACUUCGCGAAAAAAAACUUCCCAAUGCGAGAUGCACCGUCAAAAACACACAUCCUUUUUUUGACAUACAGAGGAUAAACAAAAGCUGCAAACCUGGGUGCUGUUUUCAGGCUACAUGGUACCAAAAUUGUACCAUUGUUCAUAAUACCUGCCCUCUGACUGUACGCUCAAUACUUGCAUGACUGCCAUUUUUUUCUGAUGUCAGGCUGAGUUGGCUCAGAUGCUUUUCCAGUCUCAAAAUAGUGCUAUUAUAAAUCUUAUACAUGAGGAGAAUUCAGCCCGACUGUUUUUUGAAGUUCUGAGUUUACGUGACACACUAAAAACAGCUCUGGAUGAUACAUGGAAGUAAGUCAACGUGUAUGAAAUGUGAUGCCCUGACUUGUUUUGCCUUUCCUUAAUAUGACGGAUUUUUUUUGUCCUUCAGCCGUGAUAACCGCUGUGAUUUCACCAGAUCUGUGGUUGGUUCGUCUCUGCUUUGCUUUGGCUACGUGCUUUCUCGCUCAUCAACAGAGAGGUGGACUUUCUGCGUCUUUCUUUCCAUUAUAAGCUUUGAAACCCUCCGACUGAUUGACUCCACGCCUGACUCCACUCACUACGACUAUUUGUUGGUGUGGUUCAGUGAAAUAAGAUCUGGCAUCGACACAUAAUGUUUAAUUAUAAAAUUAACCAAUCAUUUUGAUAAUCCGUGUCUGACUUCUUGUCUCCCUCGAUCUGCCUCAUGCUAAUUGAUGCAUCGUGCUUCGGUAUCCGGUGACAAUAAAAGCCGCGCACAUCUGAGUUGAGAAACACAACGCAGCAGAGCAGGCGGAGGCUGAGACAUCAACUGAAGCGAAAACCUGUCUGCUCUGUGGUUGUGGUGGAGUGGAGAUGGACCAAACAUGGAUCUGGUGGAUCUUAGAUGCAAGGAUAUGGCAGAUAGUGGCCAUGGUCAGUCAUGUGUUUGUGACAGUUUUUAUCCUGAUAAAUGGAUAGUUUGAAAACCAGGUGGUCUUGGUUUUAAAUAAACUAUUAAAUGACACUUAAAGGUGAUCCUAACUGAGCAACUGUGGCCCCCUCUGGCAAUAUCCUGAACAUAAUUCCCUGACUGAAGAGAGUUUAGCAGCUGGAAACACAUUUUAGUGAAAAUUUAGAGUCAAAGAGCCGUAUCUAAAAUUGAAACAGCAUGCAUGAGAACACAUUAGCAACAGCCGGACAGCAGCUUAGCAUUUAAUCAGUUCUUAGAAACAUUACAGAUCAAAAGUGUGAAAUAAAAAGACAACACAGACUUCCUCAAUGUUUUUGACCAGCUGAUUGUAAAGUUGACCAAUGUAAAGUCCUCCAAUGAUCUUCUGGAUUAACUGUAAUCAUACUUUCCUUUUUUCUAUCCUGAAGCUGAUACUGAUCAAUUUGUAUUAUUAAAACAAAAGGAUAACGCAAAAUUAGCAUCUGAGCUUCAUGUACCGAGCGUGACAUCAGAACAAAAAUCACCAGCCUUUGUUCAAUACUUUAGUCAAGAUGAUUUUAACCCUCACUGAGCUUCUACAUCCUGCAUCUUAAACAACAUUUUAGAUGCAACAACACAACAAACACGAGUGACUUCCAGAAAAAAAUGAAGAAAGCGGAUAUUCUUGCUGACGGAGAUCCACCUGUUCUCUCUUCAGGCCCUUUGACUCAUGAUUGUUGCUGACAUGUUAGCACACACACCAACAUUUAUAGACGGAGGAUGUGAUGAUGAUCCUGUAUUUUCAUAUAAAAGACAUAUAAAAUGAAACAAAGCAUUUUUAAUAUCAAACAGUAAGCUUUUUUUCUUGCUAAGAAUAUUAAUGUGUCAGUUAAAUCGCCCUUCAAAAGAGGUGUGAAAAAAGAGAAAGUAUCUAACACUGUAUGUUACAACAGGCUAAUUGUUGGAUACACAGUAUCCAUGAAACUAACAGAUAGUUUUUUUUCUCAUUGUGGCGUGGUUAGAAGAGACGAUUGCAGUGACUGCGGACUCUUAAUGUUGGCAGAAAUAGAAAGCAUCAGGGCUGGAGGGUGUGAGGACGAAACCAUUUUAGAUCAAGUAAUAAUUUGUGCCUUUAAAUUGAACAUUUUUCUUUGAAACUAAUCAACAUGCUGUUUGAAAUACUGAGAUUAUUUUCCACAAGCACUCUCGGCCCAGACGCAGACACGCAUUAGUCUUUGUUUGGCUUUACUCUUGGAACAGAGGGAGUCAAACUACGCAGCUGUGUCCCAGUUCAGAGGCUGCAUCCUUCAAAGACCAGUUACGUCCCAGCAAGCUGAGGGCUGCACCAUCUUAAAUGACAACGGCUUCCUCCUUUUAUCAAGCAAUACCACAAGAUGGCAGAGCAGCUGAGUAAAACCCUGUCUAAUAUUAGUAUCUAUUUUUUUUUUACUCAGUGGAAUAAUGAAGGAUUUAGAGGUUAGAAAAAAAUGUCCUGGAACUUAAAGCUCCUGUGAGAAACUUUAAGUUGGUAUAAAUUUUGGCGCCCCCUGUGGACAAAACAGUCUUUGCAUGCACAGCUUGUGGCGUGAUGGGAAAUCCUCCAUAGACCAGACAGUCUCAUUUUAGAGAAUCACUACACAGAAGCAUUUUCAACAGACAUCAGUAAACUAUUUUUGCUUUUGGUUGAACGGAAAUGUUUUCAUGGACGGUUUAAAAUGCAAACUUUUGAAAUUAGGAGUGAAAUCUCUGAAAAGCGCCACUUUGUAAACUGUAGCCAGCUAUUUAACGCCAUAAAACUUACUUCAACCACUGGUCUGGCCAUGCAUGUUUUUUAACAGCGUCAAAUAUGUGCUGAUUUUUUUUAAACCCAACAGACAGACUUUCUGUUUUUAACAAGACUGUUCAAAACUUCAUAAAGCCACAAUUCAGACCCUGAUGAUGGGGUCCUUUGUCAGCUGGAUCCUUCAAAAAAUGCUACCCCUGUUUUGGGACACAGUUUUCCUUUUUACUUUUUAGUGGAGUCAAAAAAAGGGCUGUAAUCUCAUUAAUCUUUCAGAAAUAAAUAAUAUCAGGGUAAGUAUUAGGCCUAUUUGUUUCAGUGAAUAGGGACUCUGCCAGAGAGCAACAGUACUAGACGCAACAAUGCAGAACCAGGGCGGGAUUGUUGGUUAUCCGUCUGUUAUUGAGAGGGUUUAGAUACAUUCAAGAGUGAGUUUUAUGCUACAGUGACAUGAGCCGGUCUGGUGAGAAAUACCUCGCAAGCAUCGAUAGCGGAGUGAGGAAAAGGGAAAGAAAAGAUCAUUCAACGCCAUGGACGGCUGCUUUAAAGCGGGAAAAAAAGAGGACGGCGAUGCAACGCUUUAAACUGGAUGGCGCACUUUUCAAAACACAAACGAGAAAGACUGUUUAUGAUUCCAGAAAAAAGGAAAUAUCUAUGCUCUGGAUUGAAGAUUCAGAUGUUUUGUAUAAUGAAACUUGGUUCCCUAACAUUGGCAAGGUCUCAAAAAUAGUAGCUGUCUUAUCUUCAGUUACUAAUAGAAGAUUUAGAUGUGGACCAGUAGGCGGAAACGAUAUGUUUGCAGCAUGUUCCUGAUUUAAAACAUGAGUACUGAUCUCAGCAGGAGCCCUGCACGGCUCCACAUCUCUCUCUCUACAUCCUCUCUGGUCCACUUUGGACCUUUGAAGAGAACAGAACACCUCGUUCUGUUUAUUCCAGCUCUCCUGGCGGUUGAUAAGGAUGUCACUUUUCACAACAUCAAAGAGGGCCAGCAAACCUCACACACCCCUGCCCACCUACACACACACACACUGCUGUAUGAGCCCGUCACUGAAACAUCUUCAGCCACAGAAAACUUGAGCUGCUUUUAAAAAAAUCAUCUCUUCUCGCCUCAAGUUCGGCAUUUUCGUAUCCCUGAACUCUGUAGGAAAUUUGCCUCUUUCUUUAUGUACAACAGUUGUGUUAUAACAGUGAUUCACGAAAGCAAUAGUGUAAUAGCAAAACUACAUUGGUGACAUUUUUAAUGACAGAUUCAAAACACAAGCAUUCUACGAUUUCUACACCCUGAUAGCACAUCAGACGUUUUUUUUCCUUCCUGGACUUUUUUUUAAAAACAAUUUAAAAAAAUCAUCAGCCAUCAAUGCAAGCAGAUACAUAAGUUGUCCUCAGUGUUUUUGUAUGAUUGUAUCAAAGAAACUGUGUAUGUUUGUAAUAUGAGCUAACUUAAUGGGUAAGUUUUUUUUAUUCUUUUUUUUAAUUGCCGUUCUACCGGACUCGCAGACUAAACCAGAACAGAAAAAAGCACAAGGACUUCACAAUAAAUAGGAAAAAUACAUUUUGCCUGGCAAAUAUCCACUUCUACGCUCCAUUCAAAUAUUUUACUGUACACCCGUGUUGGCUGCUACAAUUGAAUUAUGUGAUUAUUAAAAACAAACACAUUAAUCAUUCAUUAAACCUCCUCUAUCCAAACACUAAAAGAUGAGUGCUUCUUUAAAUUUUCUUUUUUACUCUCCUCCACAUUCCUCCACAGUCUGAGUCGGUGCAUCUGACUCCUUUUUAACCUGAGAGGAAGGUUAAGUCAUCAAAGGCCUGCCCUCCUCACCCCAGCGCCCUUGGCAACAGUCUCUUAGCAACAUCAUCAUUUUCCUUUCCUUUUUUUUUUUUUUUUCUUUUGGACCAUGGGUGAUGUGUCGCUCCUGGAUCUUUUUCCUAAUCUCCUCCACUCUUACAUGAGAUUUAAUGUUGUUUCAUGUGUGGGAUUUGUGAUGUUUUCCUGAACUUAAAAGAUGUAAAAAAAAGUCUGUAAACUCUGAAGGGAUCCUGCUGUGCUUCUUUGCAGAAACAGCUGAAAAGUAUUCUGAUUGUGUAACUGUGUGAGUGCGUCUAAAACAUGUUUGUGUUCAAUGUUUCAUAUCUGCAUACUGUGAACUGUAGUGAGGCAAACAGGUAAGAGACUCCACCUCUUUCACCUCGGGGUGCCUGGAUCAUCAGCACCAACAGAAA